rnacentral:rRNA from 1 species
UACAGAGGGUGCAAGCGUUGUCCGGAAUCACUGGGCGUAAAGGGCGCGUAGGCGGCCCGAUAAGUAGGGGGUGAAAUCUUGCGGCUCAACCGCAAGGCUGCCUUCUAGACUGUCGGGCUUGAGCACAGUAGAGGCAGGUGGAAUUCCCAGUGUAGAGGUGAAAUUCGUAGAUAUUGGGAAGAACACCGAUGGCGAAGGCAGCCAUCUGGACCGACACUGACGCUGAGGCGCGAAAGCGUGGGGAGCAAACAGG